CCGCGUGAGUGAUGAAGGCCUUAGGGUUGUAAAGCUCUUUUGUCCGGGACGAUAAUGACGGUACCGGAAGAAUAAGCCCCGGCUAACUUCGUGCCAGCAGCCGCGGUAAU
rnacentral:rRNA from 1 species